rnacentral:tRNA from 1 species
GGGCGCUUAGCUCAGUUGGUAGAGCGCCACCCUUACAAGGUGGAUGUCAUUGGUUCGAGUCCAGUAGCGCCCACCA